rnacentral:rRNA from 1 species
UGGGGAAUUUUGGACAAUGGGCGAAAGCCUGAUCCAGCAAUGCCGCGUGUGUGAAGAAGGCCUUCGGGUUGUAAAGCACUUUUGUCCGGAAAGAAAUCCUUGGCUCUAAUACAGUCGGGGGAUGACGGUACCGGAAGAAUAAGCACCGGCUAACUACGUGCCAGCAGCCGCGGUAAUACGUAGGGUGCAAGCGUUAAUCGGAAUUACUGGGCGUAAAGCGUGCGCAGGCGGUUGCUAAGACCGAUGUGAAAUCCCCGGGCUCAACCUGGGAACUGCAUUGGUGACUGGCAGGCUAGAGUAUGGCAGAGGGGGGUAGAAUUCCACGUGUAGCAGUGAAAUGCGUAGAGAUGUGGAGGAAUACCGAUGGCGAAGGCAGCCCCCUGGGCCAAUACUGACGCUCAUGCACGAAAGCGUGGGGAGCAAAACAGGAUUAGAUACCCUGGUAGUCCACGCCCUAAACGAUGUCAACUAGUUGUUGGGGAUUCAUUUCCUUAGUAACGUAGCUAACGCGUGAAGUUGACCGCCUGGGGAGUACGGUCGCAAGAUUAAAACUUAAAUGAAUUGAC